ensembl:lncRNA
GGGGAGGAGCGUUGCCAUGUGUUCGUGUAACAUGGAGGGAGAGCUGUUCUUCAGCGUGCACUGGAAGAACAUCGAGCCAUUUGCCCAGUUACAGAAAUUGAAGCAAAGGAAGGUGAUGAUGUCAUCCUCCAGUUUCAUGUGGAUCCCCCUGUCAACCUGUCUGCGUUCACCAUGGAUUGGUCAAGAACCAACCCGAGUGUGGUCGUCUACUCCUAUCGACACCAACAGGAGUCACAUAACGCAGAGAUGAAUGCAACAGUCAGACGUGAAGACCUGAACAGAGGAAAUCUGACACUGUGGAUCCCCUCAGUACAGAUGUCCCACAGUGGAAAAUACACAGGCUUCGUUAUGGACCUCGGGAUCAAGUGUAGUGUUCAACUUAAUGUAACAAAAGACAAACUGAAAAAGCAAAAGGGGCAUGAUGACUUAAGCACAACUGGAGCUCCUCUCAACACGACGGUGGAGAAAGUCGGUCCACCUGCUGGAUUAGCUCCUGGAUUAGCUGCUGGAUUAGCUCUUCGAUUAACAACUUGCUGGAGGCUAUUCAAAUUAGCCACACCGUGGGAUGUAAGGAGCUCUCUGAUUGGUUGGUCAGACACAGGCUGUCUGCCAGGCUGGAUUUUUCUAGCUCAUAGCUUCUCCCUGCUACGGCGUGUGUGUGCUUGUACAAAGGCCGUUCAGCGUCGGGAUUUACACUCGGCUCGACACGGAUAUGUGAAGAAUGAAGGGACCCUGCAGCGAAACGGAGAGCCAACCUCUGACUGAGUGCCUGUCUACACAGUCUGACCACCUGUUGAAGGGCUGUUUGAUGACGAUUUGGACUCCUCUGGGAGAUGAGGACACACCCACAUCUGUUCCAUACUGCAGCCAUUGAUGGUGUUACAGCUCUGAGUCAGCUUUGGGCCAUCAGAUGCACACACUGGAAAACCAGCACCUGGACUUCAUGCAGGAGAGACUGCCUCAGUGAUGGACUCUGCAUCCUCUAAUCUCUUUCUUCUUUAACACACAAUUAAAAUCACUCCAAAAGAGUGUAAACUUACUGAGGAAGUCUCUAACUUGUACACAUUUGUACAUUUACUUGUUUUAUGAGUUAUUUUUAAGAAGAGUAAAGUUAUUCACAUAAAGUUGUUAUUCUUCUGUAUUUAUUCUUUUGUAUCAUGUACCACAGUCAUACUGAACUUUACAGACCUGGUGAAUUGGAGAAAACAAAGAUCACACACACACACACACAUAUAUAUAUAUAUAUAUAUAUAUAUAUAUAUAUCUAUCUAUCUAUCUCAUCAUUCAGCUUCAGCAGUAUUUCUAUUCAUCUUAUGAAUUCCAGUCUAAUGUCAGUUCACUGAGUUCAGUUUUGGUCUUAAACUCC